rnacentral:snRNA from 1 species
AGAUGUAAGGGUGAUCUUGCUGCAACAUCUGUCACCCCAUUGAUUGCCAGAGUUGAUUUGGCUGAUCCAGCUGGAUAGGUGGAUGUUCCCUUUCUCCCUCACUGCUCCAUGUGCAUCUCUCUUGAAGCUGUGCACUGGUUGAAGAGGACAACCAUCCCUGAUAGAGAAGUACCAGUCUUCAGUCAAGGGUAUAUGAGUAGCUGCAUUCCCCUGCUAGAACCUCCAAACAAGCUCUCAAGCUCCAUUUGCAGGAGAAUGUAGGGUAGUCAAGCUUCCAAGACUCCAGACACAUCCAAAUGAGGUGCUGCAUGUGGUAGUCUGCCUUUCUUU